UCUUUAGUAGCUCAAUGGUAGUGCGGUCGGCUGUUAACUAACUAAUUGUAGGUUCGAAUCCUACUCAGAGAG
rnacentral:tRNA from 1 species